rnacentral:rRNA from 1 species
UGGGGAAUAUUGCACAAUGGGCGCAAGCCUGAUGCAGCCAUGCCGCGUGUAUGAAGAAGGCCUUCGGGUUGUAAAGUACUUUCAGCGGGGAGGAAGGGAGUAAAGUUAAUACCUUUGCUCAUUGACGUUACCCGCAGAAGAAGCACCGGCUAACUCCGUGCCAGCAGCCGCGGUAAUACGGAGGGUGCAAGCGUUAAUCGGAAUUACUGGGCGUAAAGCGCACGCAGGCGGUUUGUUAAGUCAGAUGUGAAAUCCCCGGGCUCAACCUGGGAAGUGCAUCUGAUACUGGCAAGCUUGAGUCUCGUAGAGGGGGGUAGAAUUCCAGGUGUAGCGGUGAAAUGCGUAGAGAUCUGGAGGAAUACCGGUGGCGAAGGCGGCCCCCUGGACGAAGACUGACGCUCAGGUGCGAAAGCGUGGGGAGCAAACAGG